GUUAUUUUCAUUUCUUCUCACCUGCAAAACCCUAAUCGUCUUCAUUUUUUGUUAAAGUUUCAUUUGUUGCAGAAGAAAUCUUCAAUAGUAUAGAGAGCAAAAAGAAAAAAUUAAAAGGGGGAGCAGAUGUCACUCCUGCUGAAGCCUUCGCGGAGACGCAUAAGAAGAAGAAGGAAGACGGUACAAGAGAAGAAUGGAUUGAGAUGCGUGCUAAGGACACAUAUGAAGAAUUUCAAAAAAGUUUGAAAAAUUGAAGUCAGACUUAGCCAACUUCAGAGGACGAUACCCCAUUCCAACCAUCACUCACAUAGAUGAAUUCAAUAUGGACAGAGGUGGCGGGUGGUCCUAAGCAAAGUAGAGUCUACGAAUUUUGAGUUAUACGUUCUUCGGGUAGGCCUUCACCAUUGUCGUCCAGUGCUUAUACGUACAAAAUGUGGAAGAAAUGGAAGAGAUGCGAAAGGAGAUAGCAGAGCUAAAGAUAGAUGUAAAACUUCUGACGAUAGGGUUGCUAGAUUUGAGAAGCUUAUAAUGAAGUACAUGCCUCAAGCAUGUGAUGAUGAAGACGACACUGAAUCUGAUGAGGAUUAGACCGCAGUUGUUGAUUGUGAAAUUUAGAUUUAAAGUUGAUCUUGAUUAUUAGUUUGGGAUGUACCUUAAUGAUGUUUGCCUAGGAUGCUUUAAAUAUUUUGAUGUAUUUGACUAUUUCUGUUAAUUAUGUUUGUCUAAGAUGUUUUAUGCUAUUUUGAUGA